UGCCCAGUGACACAUGUGUUAAACGGCCGCGGUAACCUGACCGUGCUAAGGUAGCAUAAUCAUUUGCCUCUUAAUUGGUGGCUAGUAUGAACGGACAAACGAGAGCUAAGCUGUCUCUUACUCACAUUUAAAAACUAACAUUCAGGCGAAAAGGCCUGAAUAACCUUAUAGGACAAGAAGACCCUGUCAAGCUUUAUCAAUUACACCCAAUAAAAAAUAUUUCAAUAACAAAAUCGGGCCCAUUUGAUUUAGUUGGGGCGACUGGGGACUAACAUUAACGUCCCCCCACACACCAGGGUAAUAACCCGCUAAAAAUUGAUCCUUAUUAUAGACCAAGAGAGAAGCUACUGCAGGGAUAACAGGCUAAUUUUUCCUAAGAGCCCAAAUCGAAGGAAAAGUUUG
rnacentral:rRNA from 1 species